UAGUCCACGCCGUAAACGAUGAUCACUAGACGUCAGCCUUGUUUUACAGGGUUGGUGUCGUAGCUAACGCGUUAAGUGAUCCGCCUGGGAAUUACGGUCGCAAGAUUAAAACUCAAAGGAAUUGACGGGGGUCCGCACAAGCGGUGGAACAUGUGGUUUAAUUCGACACUACGCGAGGAACCUUACCUAGGCUUGACAUGCUUCUGAUCGCCAUAGAGAUAUGGUUUUCUAGGUUUCGGCUUAGACAGUUGCACAGGUGCUGCAUGGCUGUCGUCAGCUCGUGUCGUGAGAUGUUGGGUUAAGUCCUCUAACGAGCGCAACUCCUACCAUUAGUUGCUACUUUUUUAAGGCACUCUAAUGGAACUGCCUGGGAAACCAGGAGGAAGGUGGGAAUGACGUCAAGUCAUCAUGGUCCUUAUGCCUAGGGGCUACACACGUGUUACAAUGACCAGUACAAAGGGUUGCCAGCCUGC
rnacentral:rRNA from 1 species